rnacentral:rRNA from 1 species
CGGUCAAUUUCCUGAAGUUUCCUACGGGAGGCAGCAGUGGGGAAUAGUGGACAAAGGGGGGAACCCUGAUCCAGCCAGGCCGCGUGUGUGAAGAAGGCCUUAUGGUUGUAAAGCACUUUAAGCGAGGAGGAGGCUCUUUUGGUUAAUCCCCAAGAUGAGUGGUCGUUACUCGCAGAAUAAGCACCGGCUAACUCUGUUCCAGCAGCCGCGGUAAUCCAGAGGGUGCGAGCGUUAAUCGGAUUUCCUGGGCGUAAAGCGUGUGUAGGCGGCUUUUUAAGUCGGAUGUGAAAUCCCCGAGCUUAACUUGGGAAUUGCAUUCGAUACUGGGAAGCUAGAGUAUGGGAGAGGAUGGUAGAAUUCCAGGUGUAGCGGUGAAAUGCGUAGAGAUCUGGAGGAAUACCGAUGGCGAAGGCAGUUAUCUGGCCUAAUACUGACGCUGAGGUACGAAAGCAUGGGGAGCAAACAGGAUUAGAUAUCCUGGUAGUUCAAAGUGUAAACGAUGUAUACUACCCGUUGGGGUCUCGAGACAUUAGUGCGCAGCUAACGCGAUAAGUAGCAAUCCUGGAGUUUACGG